AGCGAACGCUGGCGGCAGGCCUAACACAUGCAAGUCGAACGAAGUCUUCGGACUGAGUGGCGGACGGGUGAGUAACACGUGGGAACGUGCCUUUAGGUUCGGAAUAACUCAGGGAAACUUGUGCUAAUACCGAAUGUGCCCUUCGGGGGAAAGAUUUAUCGCCUUUAGAGCGGCCCGCGUCUGAUUAGCUAGUUGGUGGGGUAAUGUCCCACCAAGGCUACGAUCAGUAGCUGGUCUGAGAGGAUGACCAGCCACAUUGGGACUGAGACGCGGCCCAAACUCCUACGGGAGGCAGCAGUGGGGAAUCUUGCGCAAUGGGCGAAAGCCUGACGCAGCCAUGCCGCGUGGAUGACGAAGGUCUUAGGAUUGUAAAAUCCUUUCACCGGUGAAGAUAAUGACUGUAGCCGGAGAAGAAGCCCCGGCUAACUUCGUGCCAGCAGCCGCGGUAACAC
rnacentral:rRNA from 1 species